rnacentral:rRNA from 1 species
GUGAGUAAUGCCUAGGAAUCUGCCUAUUAGUGGGGGACAACGUUUCGAAAGGAACGCUAAUACCGCAUACGUCCUACGGGAGAAAGCAGGGGACCUUCGGGCCUUGCGCUAAUAGAUGAGCCUAGGUCGGAUUAGCUAGUUGGUGAGGUAAUGGCUCACCAAGGCGACGAUCCGUAACUGGUCUGAGAGGAUGAUCAGUCACACUGGAACUGAGACACGGUCCAGACUCC